GUGCCAGCCGCCGCGGUAAUACGAAGGGUGCAAGCGUUACUCGGAAUUACUGGGCGUAAAGCGUGCGUAGGUGGUUGUUUAAGUCUGUCGUGAAAGCCCUGGGCUCAACCUGGGAAUUGCGAUGGAUACUGGAUGACUAGAGUGUGGUAGAGGGUGGCGGAAUUCCCGGUGUAGCAGUGAAAUGCGUAGAGAUCGGGAGGAACAUCCGUGGCGAAGGCGGCCACCUGGGCCAACACUGACACUGAGGCACGAAAGCGUGGGAGCAAACAGGAUUAGAUACCCUGGUAGUCCACGCCCU
rnacentral:rRNA from 1 species